AUACGGAGGAUCCGAGCGUUAUCCGGAUUUAUUGGGUUUAAAGGGUGCGCAGGCGGCCAUUUAAGUCAGCGGUUAAAUCGUGGGGCUCAACCCCAUACUGCCGUUGCUACUGGGUGGCUUGAUUGCGGUCGAGGUUGGCGGAAUUCGUUGUGUAGCGGUGAAAUGCAUAGAUAUGACGAAGAACACCGAUUGCGUAGGCAGCUGACCAGAUCGCAAAUGACGCUCAUGCACGAAAGUGCGGGGAUCGAACAGGAUUAGAUACCCUGGUAGUCCGCACAGUAAACGAUGAAUACUUGUUUUCGGCGAUAUAAUGUCGGAGGCAAAGCGAAAGCGAUAAGUAUUCCACCUGGGGAGUACGCCGGCAACGGUGAAACUCAAAGGAAUUGACGGGG
rnacentral:rRNA from 1 species